AGCAGCCGCGGUAAUUCCAGCUCCAAUAGCGUAUAUUAAAGUUGUUGCAGUUAAAAAGCUCGUAGUUGAAUUUCGGGAUCAAUAUUUCGGUCAUGCCGUUGUUAUGCACUGUUAUCAUUGAUUUCUCACCUUCUAAAGAACCGUAAUGCCAUUAAUUUGGUGUUACGGGGAAUUAGGACUGUUACCUUGAAAAAUUAGAAGUGUUUAAAGCAGGCUCACGCUUGAAUACAUCAGCAUGGAAUAAUGAAAUAGGACAUCCGAUUCUAUUUUGUUGGUUUCUAGGAUCGAUGUAAUGAUUAAUAGGGAUAGUUGGGGGCAUUAGUAUUCAAUUGUCAGAGGUGAAAUUCUUGGAUUUAUUGAAGACUAACUACUGCGAAAGCAUUUGCCAAGGUAUGUUUUCAUUAAUCAAGAACGAAAGUUAGGGGAUCGAAGACGAUCAGAUACCGUCGUAGUCUUAACCAUAAACU
rnacentral:rRNA from 1 species